UACGUAGGACCCAAGCGUUAUCCGGAGUUACUGGGCGUAAAGAGUUGCGUAGGGGGUUUGUUAAGUGAAUAGUGAAAUCUGGCGGCUCAACCGCACAGACUAUUAUUCAAACUGGCAAACUCGAGAAUGGUAGAGGUAACUGGAAUUUCUGAAGUAGGGGUAAUAUCCGUAGAUAUCAGAAGGAACACCAAUGGCGUAGGCAGGUUACUGGACCAUUUCUGACACUGAGGCACGAAAGCGUGGGGAGCGAACCGG
rnacentral:rRNA from 1 species